GGGGAAUAUUGCACAAUGGACGGAAGUCUGAUGCAGCAACGCCGCGUGCGGGAUGACGGCCUUCGGGUUGUAAACCGCUUUCACCAGGGGCGAAUUUGACGGUACCUGGAGAAGAAGCACCGGCUAACUACGUGCCAGCAGCCGCGGUGAUACGUAGGGUGCGAGCGUUGUCCGGAUUUAUUGGGCGUAAAGAGCUCGUAGGUGGUUUGUUGCGUCGGGAGUGAAAACACACAGCUUAACUGUGUGCUUGCUUUCGAUACGGGCAGACUUGAGGGAUGUAGGGGAGAACGGAAUUCCUGGUGGAGCGGUGGAAUGCGCAGAUAUCAGGAGGAACACCGGUGGCGAAGGCGGUUCUCUGGACAUUUCCUGACGCUGAGGAGCGAAAGCGUGGGGAGCAAAC
rnacentral:rRNA from 1 species